CUUAGGUUGAUUGGUGACUUUAAAUUGCCCCUAGGAGUGAGUGUGGGUGUGUGCGGUUGUCUAAGUGUCCGCCCUUUGAUAGACUUGCAACCUGUCCAGAGUGUAACCUGCCUGUCAGCCCCAUGCGAAGCUUCGCUACAGAUGGACUGAUGGAGCAGCCGAGCAUGUUCCAGGGAACAUUGUCAGUGCUGUUGUACUGACUGAGUGCAACUCAACCAGCAGCUGUGGGCCCUGCUAUGAGUCAGUGUGAGGACAGUGAGGAAGGAGUCCCCCCCUCUAAAACCACUCUGUGUGGGGACCAUGAGAGCCAGACCAGAGCUCAGAGGAGACGGCGGAGAAAACCAGACUCUCCGGAACCCAGCUGUGCGAGUGACCAGUCAAUGGAUCAACUUAUUGUCUUUAAAGAUGGACCGCCUGCUGAU